CCAAGCCUUCCAAUAAAACAGUUUCAAGGACUACAAAAUAUAAGUUUUGAAUAACUGAAUCAUAUCUGUGCAUUCCAAUGAAAAUUCAAUUAAACAUAAUUUUAUUAUCUGUAGCUUUUUGAAUAUACAGCUGUGUGUUUGGCAAUAAUUGAGGUGUUGCGGAUCAAGGACCCCCAGCAAAGUUAGCAUUUCAGUGUGGAAACAACAGUAAUGAACUUCUUGCUACCAAUGAAAGAUGUCAAAGAGAGGUGAGCCACAGACCUUGAGGUAGGAUUGAGACCCACUUCAGCAACAAUUCCUUUAAUUCACUUCAUUGGAGCCAAAACUGAAUGAAUCAGGCUGAGCUCAAAUAACUCUGGUUCAUCAAAUUAAGUUUUAUAGCCUAAUGAAAAUUUGAGCAAGGGACAAAAGGAAAGUGUGUGUGUGUGUGUGUGUGUGUGUGUGUGUGUGUGUGUGUGUGUGUGUGUGUGUGUGUGUGUGUGUGUGUGUGUGUGUGUGUGUGUGUGUGUGUGUGUGUGUGUGUGUGUGUGUGUGUGUGUGUGUGUGUGGCCUGUACAAUUUAGCGUCACAACAUUCAAACCCAAAAGAUUGCAUAGAGUUCACGCCUUAUACAAAUCACUUAACAUUAAAGGAUUCUUUACACUAUGUGUGCACAUUAAUCACCUUUAAUUAGAAAAUUGUAUGGGUGAACUACCCCAAAAGUUUUGAGAAUGAAUGCGUUCAAAGAAGACCAAGUUAACGUUAUAGCAUAUUUCAUCAAAGAAUUUCACCCACGCUAAUAGCUGAUUUGGUGAUUCCUCCACAAAGCCUGUUGUGUUUGAUCAACUGCUUUGAUCUUUAAUUCUCUUUACACGAAGUAGAAUUGAAUCAGGAUAAUAUAAUACCGCCACUUGAUGAAAUACUUUCAGGGACAUUACUUUAGGUCCGGUUUCUAAGAUAUAAGGAUCUGAAGCACAGAUGAAUUAGGUAUACUCAUUAGGAAUACUGUUAAAGUGUAAAACGAUUUGUAUUUUUGUUCCUUAGCCGUAUUAGCCUUUGAAAAAUCUCCUUGCUAGAAGUGCUAAAAAAGUACACAUGAACAUACAAAUGUGAAAGCCAUAGAUUCUGUCACUCUGCUACAGUUGAUUUAAGUUCGAGCUCUUCCUGUCAGGAGUAGCAAAACCUCCCAGUGUGGGCUUGGUGAUUUUUGUGGUUUAAGCGUUGUAGCAUUAGCACAUCCGUCCACAGCAGUUUCCACAAACUGCCUUUUAAGAGUUGCGACAUGCUCCGGUUUCUGUGUCAGCACCAAGGACAGCGACAGCUGAUUCCACAGAGAGGGGACGGGUGAAGGUUUGUGUUGUGGGGCUGGAGGGCUGGAGAGUGUAAAGGCAGAGCUGCUAACAGAUUGUAUGUUCUCAGUCUCACACCAGAAACGAGUGAAGGGGAAUGUUGUCAAGACACUCAUUGGGAAUUCUUGCCUCCAGACAAAUAGUGUUUCUCGUCAGGGAGAGACCAAGCACUACUACUUUUGAGGAAGUUCAGCUUGUGCUGUUUGCAAUGUGAAGAUCAAUUUGAUGUGUAUAUUUGAAGAAGUUUGUAUUGAAUGACACUUUGACUGUUCCACAUAGAAGGAGAAUAUUAAGAGGAAAAAGAAUGUUAUUUUUUGGAGGUCAAUUUUUCGCAUGUGUUUUCGCACUGCAGAUAGAGGCGUCAACCAGUCACUGUACACAGGACUAGUUUACCUCCAGACAUGCUGCCGGACUCCGCUCUGGGUCAAUAGGAUCCCGUUAUGAUCCUGGGCCUCCAGCAGGAACUCAAACUGUCUCGCUGACAUCCUAAAAUUCGUAUCACUGUUGGCCGUUAAUUUCUUCCUCUGCCCGCGAUGAACUAAAAUAUAAGGUCAUGGAUGCCUGCCGCUGUGGCACCACCCGACUGAUUGUCUUUCUCUCCCUUCCUCCCCGCCUCUCAUUCUUACCUCCCCGUUCCCCACAGCCUCCCGAGUACAUUAAAACUCUUUACCUAUUCUAUCUGUAUGUUAAUGCACCUGGCUGCUGCUCCUUUUUUUUCCUCCUCCUCCUCUUCCUCCUCUGCUGUACAGAAAGUGCUACCAUUUGCUCUCAGUUUUUCAUCUGUCCACCUCAUUUCUCCUGGUGGGUAAUGCGGGAAAUAACACACUAGUAUACACACUGAGCAAAUAAUGUUAUUUUAUGACCAUACAAACUCGACUAGUAGCUCUAGUUUUGCUCAUCAGGUUUCAGCAUGUGGUUUCUCUAAUCACUGGUAUAGCUUUUAUUGAUGCUGUUAUUGUCACUGGGAUUUUAGCCCAUUAGACGUUCUUUAAAGGGCUGCUGUUUGAUUGCAUGCCUGCUCUUGAUGGGUUCUGUCCCUGAAGCUUGACGCAGUCUGUUACAACUAGUGUUGAAUUUGUUAACAAAAACUGUGACUGAAUAUGUUCGUCAAACAACCCUUUUUUUUGAGAGACGAAAAGAUAACAAGACGGCACCGACGUCAUUGAAAACUACCUGUGACUACAUCAGCAUGCAGUAUCACUGAUGAAAAAGGAGAAGAGUAAGAUGUAGUAUAAAAGAUAAAACCUUUACCAAUGUGUCUUUAUUUUUUUGUUGAGACUCAUUAUAAACUUUAUUUUUUCCAAUGCAGCAGUUUUAUUUCCUUUUUUCUUUUUUUUUUACACCUUUAGAUGUUAGGGGGUCUUUUAAGUUUUUUUUUAAUAAAUUAGGCAUUUGAAUGGACUUCUCAUUAUAUGCGAUAUUUGUUAUGUUUUAGCAUAACAAAUUGUCUUAUUACUGUGCUCUGCUUGCGAGUUUAUUGUGAUGGACACAGCGUGUGACGAGUAAAUCAGUGGCUCGUUAUUCGAUAGCUCACCCGAGAGCCUCGACACCAGUGGAGCCUGGAUGGUUUACACCAUGACUCAUAAUCCGUUUGUCAGUUUGUUGGUCGCUAAUUAAUCAAUGAGAAAUCUCUAACCGAGCUCCGUCUGUCUUUAUUCAUCCCAAUGCUUCUCUUGUAUCAGUAAGAGAUCGUUCUCCCAUUUUUUCUCAGUGCCUUCUUUUGUAAAGAAUCACAUGAUGAGCCAUCAGAGAGGAAAAGUGAGUGGGUUUUUCUCCCCUUAUACUGAUGCAUCUUUCAUUGCGGACACCCUAUCCUGUCAUCAUAAGCUAAUGACGUUGGUCAGUUGAGGAGACUUUCCAUUGGCCCGCUUCCAGGACGUUGGCGGCAGGUAUUUGGUGAUGACCCAUCCUGUCUGGGGUUUCUUGCUUUUGGUUUUAAACAGGCUGUCUUUCUCCUCCCCCUUUUCCAUCAAUGCAAAGCCCGGUCUGUGUGCAGCACCUAUUGGCUCAUUUACCAAGCUUUGGGACAAGAGAGACAGAGAAUAUAGUGUUAGUGACCCAUUACAUAUUUGUUAAUUUAUAGAACAAACACGUUGUCUUACGUAUUUGUGUACCUGUUUUUUUGCCUUUGUGCAUUUUUGUGCUUGAAUGAAGAACAAGAGUGAUGAUCCCCAUAUACCCUCAUAUUCUUUGAUUGUGAUUUGAUGGACAUUUCAUUUUCUCCCUCCCCCCUCCCGCCUCCCCCAUCCGUCGCACCCCAGCCAGCAGCCUUCAAACAGCCUUUUAGCACCCUUGUCAAUGCAGCCCUCCUAUUCUGCCCCUCUAUUCAUACGCACACAUAGACACGCACACAAAUAUGUCGCCCCCUUUCAACCCUGGAGACACCAGAUGAGUCCCUUGUUUUUUUGUUUUUUUUUUCACAAAGGAACCCCUCCUUCCUCUGACUGUCCCUAAAAUCUAGUUAGGACUCAAACACGCACACGCGCAGUUUUGAACUGCACUUGAACUGUGGAUGUUUAUUAUCAACAAAUGUCUGACUAGUUAAUAGGAAUCCAUAUUAAUAUCUGUCAUUAACCAUGUCACAUUGGAACCACUGACCCUCCCCAUCCACACUUGCUCCUAAUGUUUCCAUUGAUUUCCAUUCAUUCAUCAGGACAAACAACAUGGGUAGAAUGUCUAAUGUCCAUGUUAUCUCUUCUACACCAUUUUUUUGAGUCCUAUAGUCUUUUCUUUCUGUCUUUGUUUGUCUUUGUGUUUUUGCAUACUGCUGAGCCAGUGAUGACAUAAGGAAAUAAUGUCCCCUACUGGCAUGGUGAUACCACUUUGUUGAAACAGACAUUCAGUGGACUGGGGACAAGGUAACACACAUUGUCCUUAUGAUGACUCAUAUCUUUCAUUUUUGAUAAAGUAGCAGAUCGUUCCAAACAUUUAUCCAUCUGUGCAGUGUACGAGCUUCCUUAAUUCUUCAACAGUGAUGGAGCUGAUCUUUGUGUUUGGGUUUCAUGGGAUAUUCACAAUUUUGCUGAUUCUGCAUUAUUUGAAAAUUAAAAAACAAAAGAACAAAA